rnacentral:rRNA from 1 species
GACGAACGCUGGCGGCGUGCUUAACACAUGCAAGUCGAACGGAAAGGCCCUGCUUGCAGGGUACUCGAGUGGCGAACGGGUGAGUAACACGUGGGUGAUCUGCCCUGCACUUCGGGAUAAGCUUGGGAAACUGGGUCUAAUACCGGAUAGGACCGCACUUUAGUGUGUGUGGUGGAAAGUUUUUUCGGUGUAGGAUGAGCUCGCGGCCUAUCAGCUUGUUGGUGGGGUAAUGGCCUACCAAGGCGGCGACGGGUAGCCGGCCUGAGAGGGUGUACGGCCACAUUGGGACUGAGAUACGGCACAGACUCCUACGGGAGGCAGCAGUGGGGAAUAUUGAACAAUGGGCGCAAGCCUGAUGCAGCGACGCCGCGUGGGGGAUGAAGGCCUUCGGGUUGUAAACUCCUUUCGCUAGGGACGAAGCUUUGUUGUGACGGUACCUAGAGAAGAAGCACCGGCUAACUACGUG